UUCAGGCAGUCACCUUACAACAGAGAGACCAACUCCUCCAUGGUGGCCAAGGACAACUCCUACAACAGAUUAUUCUUGCGGUGGUUUCCUCGCACAUUCAUCUGGGUCAUUUCAAAGUCCGU